rnacentral:misc_RNA from 1 species
GAUGAAGAACGCAGCGAAAUGCGAUACGUAAUGUGAAUUGCAGAAUUCAGUGAAUCAUCGAGUCUUUGAACGCACAUUGCGCCACCUGGUAUUCCGGGGGGCAUGCCUGUCCGAGCGUCAUUGCUGCCCUCAAGCACGGCUUGUGUGUUGGGCCUCCGUCCUCCUCCCGGGGGACGGGCCCGAAAGGCAGCGGCGGCACCGCGUCCGGUCCUCGAGCGUAUGGGGCUUCGUCACCCGCUCUUGUAGGCCCGGCCGGCGCUUGCCGACACAUCAAUCUUUUUUCCAGGUUGACCUCGGAUCAGGUAGGGAUACCCGCUGAACUUAAGCAUAUCAAUAAGCGGAGGA